rnacentral:tRNA from 1 species
GCGCCUGUAGUUCAAUGGUAGAACGGUAGCCUUCCAAGCUAUCAGCGUCAGUUCGAUUCUGACCAGGCGCU